GUAAACAACACCUUAACUCCAGGAGAUGUCUACUGGACUACUACGCUCUGCAAGCAGGUUAGUGUUUAGGCAGGUAUGUAUUAAGGCAUACAAGAAAUUACAGUAAAUAAUCAUUAUAAAAAUAUAGACAAUAGUCACUGAUUAAGAAUGAACUGUUAUCCUUACGUUAUAUCUAUAACAUAUUUGUUGAUAAAACAGUGAGAUUAACUUUGUUACCCACCAAGUUUGGUUAUAGACUCCUGUAGUCCUGUAGUUUUAAAGAAGACAUCAUCAAACAUAACUAGCAGAUUAACAACUCAUAGCUUUAAUGAAGCAUUUGCACAAACUCUGUAAGAAAAUGAAACCUUGAUGAGACAGAAUGUAGAAACGUUAGCGUCAAUCUGUUAUUUUAAAUAUAAGAUAAAUGCAGCUUUUCAAAAUAACAUGCAAUGCUAUCCCUUGGACAUGCCGUAGUUGAACAGCAGUUACCUGCGUCCUCCUAGCCUGGCUGGGCCAUCCUGUUGCGUGAGUCACUUGACGUUCCUUCCCACCACAGUCUGGACUUCGGCCCAUAGGGAGCCCUGAAAGUGGGCGGAAGAACGUUCCUUGAUAGACAGUUUACUGUAACCAAUCACCGUAACCAAACAUCUGACAUCAUCACAGUGCGCAAUUGUGUUCCGUGCCGGGCUCUCAACCGUCAAGUAAACAUUUGGUAAUAUUUCAACGUGUGCGAGCGUCUUCUUCUGCGGAUAUAAACGAUUUCUGCCGACUUUGCAAAGUCAACUGCAGAAUUAACGGCGUUCUGAAUGAACGGCGCUUUGAAAAGUCCCGCAGCAUCUAUUAGACGUCGCCACUACACAUGGACCAAUCAGGGGCUGUCUUUCCCUGUUGUCCGGGUAACAGUGGAAACACGGUCUCUGAUUGGCCCGGUUAUUUUCUGAUCGGGAAUACACGCUCUCUAUGGGCCGAAGUCCAGACUGUGGUGGGAAGGAACGUCAAGUGAUUCACGCAACAGGAUGGCUCAGCCAGGCUAGCGUCCUCCUGCUUCCUGCUGCAGCUAUGACAAAUACUUCACACAGUGCUUUUAAAUAGCAGACUUCACCUAAAAGUGUGUGACAAACUGACUAGAAAUAUCAGUUAGAUCUUAGCAUACAGGUGCAGCUAAUAAUACUGAUGUCAGGGAGCACAACACAAAAGCUGUUAUUCAGUUUGCCACAGAAUAAAAACUUGAAAUAUGUCUUGUGGUUUUAGACCAUGAUGGUGUAGCGCUGCAGUAAAUUUUGAAAUUAAACCUUAAAGUCAAGAUCAUGAAGUUAUUUUAUUGCACCAUUUGAUUCCAAAAUCAAGAGACUAGCAGAAUGUCUUGAAAUCACUCAUAUAAACUCCAAGACUUUUGAUUAGGAAUUGGACCUAAAAAAAUCAACAGGGAUCUAUCUGUCUAUCUAUCUAUCUAUCUAUCUAUCUAUCUAUCUAUCUAUCUAUAUAUAUAUAUAUAUAUAUAUAUAUAUAUAUAUAUAUAUAUAUAUGUAUAUAUAUAAAUAUAUAUAUACAUAUACACACACACGUGUGUGUGUAUCAGCUGGUCUGUUGACAUACUUCACAGAGAAUCUCUGUGCUGAUUGGCUAUCAUUUGAGUACAGAUUUUUUGAUCAGCAGUUGAAGUGGGUAGUAGGUUGAAGUGUCAGGAAAUUAUGUCAUUUACACGUAUAAUCCAAUCAGGUGCUGACAGACCAGAUAUGGCCCACCAAGAGACACCGCCCACUUCAGCUGCUUUACUAGUUGUUUUACAUUCGAAAGUCUUUCCGGUGAAAGUAACUAUAUUAAGUGUGUAUUUUCCUCAUAGUACACCAUUGUUUGCUUCUAAUGUAUUCUUUUAUUAUAAUGAGGGGAAAGAUUCCUUGAGUCCUUUAAUGCUUUUCAACUCUGACCCAACAUUAUAACACAUAAUACCUUUCAAACUGAGAGUGUAAAACUACAGAGAUUCACAUUUUCAGAGUGUGUACAGAGAUUUUUUUUUUAUUGGGGAGACUUAUGAACACAAAACAAACAAAGCUGCUGGAGUGAGUGGGAGAGUGUUUCUCCGUCAUUGGCCUUGCUGGCGUCACCCGACAAGAACUUGCAUGUCAUCUGAUAGUGCCAGUGUCACCUGAUAAACCAAUGAUAAAUCAAUAUAAAAUAUAAACUGUUGGUCUUCAGGGGCUUCUUGAGGUGCUUUCUCAGUCACAUAAAACCGGUAUUCUCCUCAAGCUCUCAGUAUUUUUUUUACUUGGUGUUAUAUUUGGUGUUAGAUUUCUGUUCUCACAUGACAAACUCACAGUUAUCUGUAAUUCCUUGUUUAUUAGACUGACUCAUCUACAGCAAACUAUUGUUAAGAUAUAAAACCUAUAAAACCUCAGAUUCCAAGGAGAGAUCAUGUAGAAGUUUUACCAUUUAAACACUAAGCAUUUAAAACAUCCAUCUGUUUUCAUUCUUCACAGGACAACUUUUCUCUUGACAUUAUAGUUUUGUUUGUGUGUGUGUGUGUGUGUGUGUGUGUGUGUGUGUGUGUGUGUGUGUGUGUGUGUGUGUGUGUGUGUGUGUGUGUGUGUGUGUGUGUGUGUGGUCUGGUGUAAUGAUGUCUGCUUUACGACAGCAGCAGCAGCAGCUUCCUCAUCUGUCUGUCUGCAUGUAUGGCCCAUGCAUCCUCAUUAAUGACCUAUUUCAUGGCACAUUAAUUUAGAUGAUUUUAGGGAACGCAACAUUAGCACAUCUCCCCGCUCAUAACUCUUUCUCAGAGGGCAAUAUUUGGACAUUUCAUUUUCUGAAACUCACUUCAUUCAGCACAACUUCCAUCUUGUCUCGGAUAAAUUCAGCUAUGCCGCUCAUUUAUUGAAAGGGAUCAUUUGCAUGUAAGAGUUAGCAAACUCACAAGGAGACAACCAUUUAUUCAUGUUUUUUCUUUUCUUCUGGUGCCACAGAGAGCUUGAGUCUCAGCCUGCAAAAGCACAUCACACAUAUCAGAAGGAUGAGGAGGCAGGUAUUUAAAAUAUUUAUUGAACUAGAAUAAAUUUUAGGUAGAAUUCAUGUAGAUACAAGUGGUCUUUUACCUUUGCACCAGUCCAGUCCAUGUCCUUGUCCAUUUUCAGCUCAUUUCAGUCUGUUACAUCAUGGGUGCCUUCAUCUGAUUUCGGUGUUUACCCUCUUUUUCUCUCAGUGCUGUUUCUUCUCUGCAUGUUCAGCCCCUCUCUGGAUACCUCUCUGUCUUCCUCCUUUUUGAUGUAUUGCCUCUAUUUGCAUCAUUGCCCCUGAUAAAAACUCAGAUCCCAGGGCAUCAUAUUUCACAGUACUGUGUAUAAGCAUCAGUGUUAUUCUCUGCUUUGCUCUCUUUUAUACCAAAAACAUUGUCCCUGCUCUAUUGUCUGCCUUUUAUUUUUCCACAUCUCCUUUCAUCACGUGUGUCAAUCCCUGCAUGCUCUUACUCUCUCUCCCUCUCUUUUUCUCUCUCUGCAGUUUAACAGUGCUAUAGCAGCUCUUCAGGCCUCUGCAGAAGAGAAAUGUUUCUUUCAUCUGUCAGCAGCAACUCUGGGUCCGUUUCACGUAGCAGGUUUAAUGGAAACUCCGAGUUUGUUAACCCUGAAAUCAGUGAAACUCUGAGUUUUCCGUUUCACAAAGGAGGGUUAGUUAAACCAGGGAGAGAGGGGUAACUCUAACCUGUUUCACAAAGAGAGGUAACUCAACCUCGCGGUCAGUUACCACAGUAACAGACUCCGUGAACCUAACCUGCUCGGGAGCAGGUUUAACUCAGUAAACCCAGAGUUUCAGGUGAGACAUCGGCAUUUUCUCAUUUUGAUCAUGUUUUACAUUGUCAAGUAAGUAUUAAGUGGCAGUUUGAUCCCUUAAAAAAUGCUCUUUUCACACUCAAAAAUGAAUUUUACUCUCUUAUUAUGUUCCGUUAAAUGAUUAAGAAUAUUAAACUAACACAAAAACGGGUGGUGGUCCAGCAGCCCC